UUAAAAAGGGACCUUUCUCCAAAGGGACAGACGAUGCCCUGUCUAAAGUCAAGUGCCCGGAUGGAUUUGUGGGAGUAAAGUGCGAGUGCAAACCGAUUCAUCUGUGUGAUGGCUCUUACUUCAAGGACGUGGUAACGUGUCAUGCCCACAAGAGAGGGGUUAUGUCCAGUCUCUUUAUUAAGGCAGUAGUGACAUGCAAAAACGAUGUGGACAUCAUCGCCCAAGUGAAGUCUCCGGGAUUCACGAAGGGACCAAGCGCGAAAUGUCCAUCAGAUACGAAACCGGUCUCUUGUUCUGUACAUUCACCCUGGGCUAAUUCGUUAGCUGGGCCCAAUGGCAUGUAUCUGAAAACAACGAUAUCUGGACAGAAAUGCAGCGCCCCCAAUGGAUGUAGCAAAUGUCAGGUUCAGAUCAUCUGCAAGGCCAAAGGCUAAAUCAGCGAUUCCGAUGGGCUAUACUUCUAGUUACAACAACACUGUCU